GCCGAGAUAGCUCAGUUGGUAGAGCAGCUGAUUCGUAAUCAGCAGGUCGUGGGUUCAAUUCCCAUUCUUGGCUCCA
rnacentral:tRNA from 1 species